rnacentral:rRNA from 1 species
UACGUAGGGAGCGAGCGUUGUCCGGAAUCAUUGGGCGUAAAGCGCGUGUAGGCGGCCCGGUAAGUCCGCUGUGAAAGUCCAGGGCUCAACCCUGGGAUGCCGGUGGAUACUGUCGGGCUCGAGUCCGGAAGAGGCGAGUGGAAUUCCUGGUGUAGCGGUGAAAUGCGCAGAUAUCAGGAGGAACACCAAUGGCGAAGGCAGCUCGCUGGGACGUGACUGACGCUGAGACGCGAAAGCUAGGGGAGCAAACAGG